UACGUAGGGUGCAAGCGUUAUCCGGAAUUAUUGGGCGUAAAGAGCUCGUAGGCGGUUUGUCACGUCUGCUGUGAAAACUGGAGGCUCAACCUCCAGCCUGCAGUGGGUACGGGCAGACUAGAGUGCGGUAGGGGAGAUUGGAAUUCCUGGUGUAGCGGUGGGAUGCGCAGAUAUCAGGAGGAACACCGAUGGCGAAGGCAGAUCUCUGGGCCGUAACUGACGCUGAGGAGCGAAAGCAUGGGGGAGCGAACAGG
rnacentral:rRNA from 1 species